rnacentral:lncRNA from 1 species
UGUGAUGUUGGUCAGCACACUCAUCUGUUGGCUUAUGUAUCGGAGCUGGGGAUCCGGCGCUUUCCUCGGAGUGCACUGGCUUCUUAUUGAUGCUGCAUCACAUUUUAGAGGAGCAAUGCACAAGAGAUCACCAUCAACAGGAUCUGUUUGAAUCUUCAAAUGCGAGGUGUAUCUCUCUUUUUUUACAAGAGCUGUGCAUUUGUCUUUACCAAUACUAACUCAAAACUCUCUUUGAUACAUGUUUACUUGUGAAGUCAAAUGAAAAAAAAGCAAAAGAUUCCUGCUUGAAGCUUAGGGGAUUUACAUAUCUUACAUUUACAUUCACAUGUUUAGUGUCUGUCACAGUGUGUGCAGUUAUAUGAGCGUAGAGGAGCUGGAUUUAUAUUAAAUUUUAGUAACCUCGCUGUAUAUAAAAUCAAUAUUUCAGGUAUAUGGAAAACAUUGACCCUCUAUAAAGUGCUUUUAUUCUGGAAAAGACUCACGGCCCAAAAAACCAAGAGGGCAUUUUUCUUUUAGCCUUUUUAGAUACCAACUUAAUGGACGGGGAAAGAAAGAGUAAGUCACUCUAAAUUGACUGACAACUCUGAUCUCCAACCUCAGUCCCAGUGCUUUUGAAUUUAUUAUUAAAUUGAUAAAAUAGUAAUAAAGACAGAGAGAGCAGAAAGAAUCUGGAUUCG